rnacentral:lncRNA from 1 species
AGUUUUUGAGGACAUACCUGAAUCUUCCCUCUGAAAUUGUUCCUGCCACUUUGAAGAAACAAUCAAAGCCUGCUGGUGGUCGGCCAUUUGGUGGCCCACCUGGUGACCGUCCCCGGUAAUUUACAUUAUACUGACCAUUUGCUGAUUUUAAGUGUUUUCCUAUCUUUUCAUUGAUUUUUUAGAAUUCUCUAAUUAACAUGUGGUGUUUACUUUGGUUUCUAGUGGCCCACCUCGCUUUGAAGGAGACCGCCCAAGAUUUGGUGACCGUGAUGGUUAUCGAGGGGGCCCUCGAGGGGGUGAAGGUGGCGAGAAGGGAGGAGCUCCAGCAGA